UCUUUUGAGACAGGGCCCCUCGCUAAACUAUAACUCAUCACGUCAGCUUGGCUGGCUAGCUAUUGGACCCCCAGGAUCUGUCUCUCUUCCCAGCUCUGGGAUUACAAGUGUCUACUGCCACAUCUGUCCUCUUCAUAUCCUGCUGGAGUUCCUGAUAUAAGUUCCUGUAACAAUGGACUGUAACCUGAGAGUUGAAAUAAACCACUCCUUCAUUAUGUA